GUUUUCACAGGUGAGAAAGGAGCUCUCAGUGCACGGAAACAUUUUGUGUAUACAAAGCAGAUUUUUCAGCUGCUCAGCUGGAAGCGAUGCACGUAAUUGUCUUUCAUAAGGAACUGCAUAAAUACCUCUUCUCAGCUGAGAGGACAAACAUGUGGUUUGGAGCUCUUGGAAGGCUGUUGAAUGUUUGCUAUGCUGUUUGUGUAGGAGCUGAAAGCAUUACGGUGACAGUGACGACAAAGAUGACCAGCUGCUGGUGAGGCUGGGCUGCUGGUGAUGUUAAGAACUUUGAUUUCUAGGACUCAUUCAUGCCACCACUUGCGCUUGCAGUCAGCUGGAAUACCCUGCUUGUGGGACGAGGAUGUUUGGAGGUUUCACAGGUUGAUAAACGUGCACCUCUCUGCCGUUUGACCGAUGUCCCGUCCCCGCUUCACUCCAGCCCUGUGAAAUACUAAUAGUCAUUUUGUCAAGAGCUGUCAGUUUUUCUCAAUUACCAGCCCAUGGGUAACCAGAUCACCACUGUACUUACUAAUAAUGAGCAAGUUUUAAUGUCAAAAGAAAAAGCCAACUAAUGAGGUAAUUAACCAGUUAUUAUAUGAUAAUGACUGUGCACUUGCAUGCUUGAUGGCUUCAAUGUAAUUAAAAACUUUGAGUAUGUGCCUGUCUGUGACCUGUAGAACAAUUAAGAGGUUCUGAGGGUUUGGGCUUUUCUUUCUUUCUUUGUUUUUUACACAUAGAGUUUUUCUGUCUUUGAGCCCUCUCAUCUGAAGGCAGUAAAAUUACGUAUGAGGCUUGGAAAUAGAUUUGACUCUAUGCAAAUUCUUUGGGCAAUAUAGGGGGCUGCAGCUUG